rnacentral:rRNA from 1 species
GUAGGGUGCGAGCGUUGCCCGGAUUUAUUGGGCGUAAAGGGCGCGCAGGCGGCUACGCACGUCCGUUGUGAAAUCGCUCGGCUCAACUGGGCGGGGUCAGCGGAUACGGCGUAGCUGGAGCAAGCUAGGGGGCAAUGGAAUUCCCGGUGUAGUGGUGGAAUGCGUAGAUAUCGGGAGGAACACCAGUGGCGAAGGCGGUUGCCUGGAGCUUUGCUGACGCUGAGGCGCGAAAGCGUGGGGAGCGAUCCGGAUUAGAUACCCGGGUAGUCCACGCCGUAAACGAUGCGGACUAGGUGUCGGGGGUAUCGACCCCCUCGGCGCCGCAGCUAACGCAUUAUGUCCGCCGCCUGGGGACUACGGCCUCAAGGCUA